rnacentral:lncRNA from 1 species
CUUGCUCCGCGUGUACUCACGGGAGGACUCGCAGACGUUACUGCCCUCUUGCGUGCCCCGGCCACCCCCGGGCGGCUUGUAGCCGGUGCGCGGGGUGGCUGGGGCUACGUGCAGAGCUGUCGCGGAGCCGGAGCAGCAGCGGUGAAGGCCCUCGGCUCGGCCGAGACCGCCGUGCCCACUGCUCGCCUCGGUUGCCGCCGCUUUAGCCGCAGCCGCUGCUGCCGCCGCCGGGGGAGAGGCAGCCUAUUGUCUUUCUCCGCGGCGAAGGUGAGGAGCUGUCUCGGCUCGGCCCGCGGGGGAGCCCCGGGAGCCGCACGGUGGCAUUUUUCAACUCCGCUGGAGCCAGUGCCCAGGAGGAACAAAGGGUGUGCUGCCAGCCCCUGGCUCACCCAGUGGCCUCGUCCCAGAAGAAGCCAGAGGUAGCGGCCCCAGCCCCAGAGAGUGGGGGUGAGUCUGUGUUUGGGGAGACCCACCGGGCCCUGCAGGGGGCCAUGGAGAAGCUGCAGCGACUUUAUGGAAGGAGAAGGUGGACCUGAAGGAGCGGGUAGAGAAACUAGAGCUUCAAUUCAUCCACCUCUCAGGACAGACAGACACCAUAGAAAGUACAUCAGCCAGGGGGCAGUGUCAGAGACGCAGCACUGGGAGAGGAGGACAUCGUCAGGCUGGCCCAGGACCAGGAGGAGAUGAAGGUGAACCUGCAGGAGCUGCGGGGCAGGUGUUGCAGCUUGUGGGCGACCACAAGGAGGGGCAUGGCAAAUUUUGACCAUUGCCCAGAACCCUGCUGAUGAGCCCACUCUAGGAGCCCCAGUAGCCCAGGAGCUUGGGUGUGCUGACGAGCAGGGUG